CCUACGGGAGGCAGCAGUGGGGAAUAUUGGACAAUGGGCGCAAGCCUGAUCCAGCCAUGCCGCGUGAGUGAUGAAGGCCUUAGGGUUGUAAAGCUCUUUCGCCGGUGAAGAUAAUGACGGUAACCGGAGAAGAAGCCCCGGCUAACUUCGUGCCAGCAGCCGCGGUAAUACGAAGGGGGCAAG
rnacentral:rRNA from 1 species